AGUUGUUGAAACUACUACUUAUUCAUCUAGGGCCUAGGUCACAGCAAGGCCACCGAAGAGGUGAUCUAAAUUGUACAAUUGUGUUCAUAUCACGCUCAACAUCGAUAUGUAGAUUUGAAAUACUCUCAUAAAUAUGAGUAUAGAAGCCAUUUUGGCCUUAUUGAAAUUGGGUUUUAAUUCUCAUAUACAUCAAACAACUGAAGGGUUGCGGUAUUGCCGUUGAUACUAUUCUUCGCUGCAAAAAAGGCGGCCUAUCUUGUGGCAAAGACGUUUAUACAGCCAUUCCCAUUACCAAAAUAUCAUUAGACUACUGAGGAGCUUAUAUAAAUGGAAUCUAAACCAGUAAUAUGCAUAACCAUCACCAUGAGCACAAAUAAUAGAGGAAAGUUGCAGUUUCAGUUGAUUUCCCCGUCCCUUUUUACAGGAUACCUGUAUUACUGCAUCACCGAAUUGAUCCAGGUGCCCGAGCAUCAAAGUGAGAGCUUCCAGCAAUCUUAGAGCUUUACUGGAAAUCGCAAGGUAGCUGCACGGCGUUCGCAACCCUGCCGUCCUCCCUCCUAUUUUAGUAUUUUGUUAUUUCGAACUUAUUUUGUUAUUUCUUGGUUGUAUUUAGAGGCUCUAACUAGUGACACUAGAUUGUUGGGUUGUGUUGGUAUAUUUUGUAUUGAUUUUCGCAUAUUUUUGUUGAUUUAUAUAUUUCAUAUGAGAACUUGAGACUUAA